AGAGUUUGAUCCUGGCUCAGGAUGAACGCUGGCGGCGUGCCUAAUACAUGCAAGUUGAACGAAACUUCUUUAUCACCGAGUGCUUGCACUCACCGAUAAAGAGUUGAGUGGCGAACGGGUGAGUAACACGUGGGCAACCUGCCCAAAAGAGGGGGAUAACACUUGGAAACAGGUGCUAAUACCGCAUAACCAUAGUUACCGCAUGGUAACUAUGUAAAAGGUGGCUAUGCUACCGCUUUUGGAUGGGCCCGCGGCGCAUUAGCUAGUUGGUGAGGUAAAGGCUUACCAAGGCAAUGAUGCGUAGCCGAACUGAGAGGUUGAUCGGCCACAUUGGGACUGAGACACGGCCCAAACUCCUACGGGAGGCAGCAGUAGGGAAUCUUCCACAAUGGGCGAAAGCCUGAUGGAGCAACGCCACGUGGGUGAAGAAGGUCUUCGGAUCGUAAAACCCUGUUGUUAGAGAAGAAAGUGCGUGAGAGUAACUGUUCACGUUUCGACGGUACCUAACCAGAAAGCCACGGCUAACUACGUGCCAGCAGCCGCGGUAAUACGUAGGUGGCAAGCGUUAUCCGGAUUUAUUGGGCGUAAAGGGAACGCAGGCGGUCUUUUAAGUCUGAUGUGAAAGCCUUCGGCUUAACCGGAGUAGUGCAUUGGAAACUGGGAGACUUGAGUGCAGAAGAGGAGAGUGGAACUCCAUGUGUAGCGGUGAAAUGCGUAGAUAUAUGGAAGAACACCAGUGGCGAAAGCGGCUCUCUGGUCUGUAACUGACGCUGAGGUUCGAAAGCGUGGGUAGCAAACAGGAUUAGAUACCCUGGUAGUCCACGCCGUAAACGAUGAAUGCUAAGUGUUGGGAGGGUUUCCGCCCUUCAGUGUUGUAGCUAACGCAAUAAGCAUUCCGCCUGGGGAGUACAACCGCAAGGGUUGAAACUCAAAAGAAUAUGACGGGGGCCGCGCACAAGCGGUGGAGCAUGUGGUUUAAUUUGAAGCAACGCGAAGAACCUUACCAGGUCUUGACAUCUUCUGACAAUCCUAGAGAUAGGACUUUCCUUUCGGGGACAGAAUGACAGGUGGUGCAUGGUCGUCGUCAGCUCGUGUCGUGAGAUGUUGGGUUAAGUCCCGCAACGAGCGCAACCCUUAUUGUUAGUUGCCAGCAUUAAGUUGGGCACUCUAGCAAGACUGCCGGUGACAAACCGGAGGAAGGUGGGGAGGACGUCAAAUCAUCAUGCCCCUUAUGACCUGGGCUACACACGUGCUACAAUGGACGGUACAACGAGUCGCGAGACCGCGAGGUUUAGCAAAUCUCUUAAAGCCGUUCUCAGUUCGGAUUGUAGGCUGCAACUAGAACUACAUGAAGUCGGAAUCGCUAGUAAUCGCGGAUCAGCAUGCCGCGGUGAAUACGUUCCCGGGCCCCCCAAAAACCGCCCGUCA
rnacentral:rRNA from 1 species